rnacentral:rRNA from 1 species
UACGUAGGGCGCAAGCGUUGUCCGGAAUUAUUGGGCGUAAAGAGCUCGUAGGCGGCCUGUUACGUCUGCUGUGAAAUCCCGGGGCUUAACCCCGGGCGUGCAGUGGAUACGGGCAGGCUGGAGGCAGGCAGGGGAGAACGGAAUUCCCGGUGUAGCGGUGAAAUGCGCAGAUAUCGGGAGGAACACCGGUGGCGAAGGCGGAUCUCUGGGCCGAUACUGACGCUGAGGAGCGAAAGCGUGGGGAGCGAACAGG